rnacentral:rRNA from 1 species
UACGUAGGGGGCAAGCGUUGUCCGGAAUUAUUGGGCGUAAAGAGCGCGUAGGCGGUCCGAUAAGUCGGCUGUGAAAGUCAGGGGCUCAACCCCUUGAAAGCCGGCCGAUACUGUCGGACUAGAGUCCGGAAGAGGCAAGUGGAAUUCCCGGUGUAGCGGUGAAAUGCGCAGAUAUCGGGAGGAACACCAAUGGCGAAGGCAGCUUGCUGGGACGGUACUGACGCUGAGGCGCGAAAGCGUGGGGAGCAAACAGG